AGUGAACGCUGGCGGUAGGCCUAACACAUGCAAGUCGAACGGCAGCACAGUAAGAGCUUGCUCUUACGGGUGGCGAGUGGCGGACGGGUGAGGAAUACAUCGGAAUCUACUUUUUCGUGGGGGAUAACGUAGGGAAACUUACGCUAAUACCGCAUACGACCUACGGGUGAAAGCAGGGGAACUUCGGACCUUGCGCGAUUGAAUGAGCCGAUGUCGGAUUACCUAGUUGGCGGGGUAAAGGCCCACCAAGCCGACGAUCCGUAGCUGGUCUGAGAGGAUGAUCAGCCACACGGGAACUGAGACACGCUCCAGCCUCCUACGGGAGGCAGCAGUGGGGAAUAUUGGACAAUGGGCGCAAGCCUGAUCCAGCAAUACCGCGUGGGUGAAGAAGGCCUUCGGGUUGUAAAGCCCUUUUGUUGGGAAAGAAAAGCAGCAGGUUAAUACCCCGCUGUUCUGACGGUACCCAAAGAAUAAGCACCGGCUAACUUCGUG
rnacentral:rRNA from 1 species